UUGGGAUAACUCCGAGAAAUCGGGGCUAAUACUGGAUAUGACUACUGGCCGCAUGGUUGGUGGUGGAAAGUUUUUCGGUGAGGGAUGGGCUCGCGGCCUAUCAGUUUGUUGGUGAGGUAGUGGCUCACCAAGGCGAUGACGGGUAGCCGGCCUGAGAGGGCGACCGGCCACACUGGGACUGAGACACGGCCCAG
rnacentral:rRNA from 1 species